rnacentral:rRNA from 1 species
UAACACAUGCAAGUCGAGCGAGAAACCAUCUUCGGGUGGCGGACAGCGGCGGACGGGUGAGUAAUGCGUGGGAAUAUGCCCUUUGGUAUGGAAUAGCCCCUGGAAACGGGGAGUAAUACCGUAUGUGCCCUACGGGGAAAAGAUUUAUCGCCAAAGGAUUAGCCCAUGUUGGAUUAGCUGGUUGGUGAGGUAAAAGCUCACCAAGGCGACGAUCUAUAGCUGGUUUGAGAGGAUGAUCAGCCACACUGGGACUGAGACACGGCCCAGACUCCUACGGGAGGCAGCAGUGGGGAAUAUUAGACAAUGGGCGAAAGCCUGAUCUAGCCAUGCCGCGUGAGUGAAGAAGGCCCUAGGGUUGUAAAGCUCUUUCAGAUGUGAGGAUGAUGACAGUAACAUCAGAAGAAGCCCCGGCUAACUUCGUGCCAGCAGCCGCGGUAAUACGAAGGGGGCUAGCGUUGUUCGGAAUUACUGGGCGUAAAGGGCGCGUAGGCGGACUGGUCAGUUUGGUGUGAAAGCCCGGGGCUCAACCUCGGAACUGCACUGAAUACUGCCAGUCUAGAAUCCCGGAGGGGAGUGUGGAAUUUCUAGUGUAGAGGUGAAAUUCGUAGAUAUUAGAAA